ACUAUGCUUGGCCCUAAACCUCAGUAGUUAGAUAACAAAACUACUCGCCAGAAUACUACAAGCAACAGCUUAAAACUCAAAGGACUUGACGGUGCUUUACAUCCCCCUAGAGGAGCCUGUUCCGUAAUCGAUAAACCCCGAUCCACCCCACCCUCUCUUGCUCAGCCUAUAUACCGCCAUCUUCAGCAAACCCUAAUGAAGGCUACAAAGUGAGCGCAAACGCCACUGCCGCGAAUACGUUAGGUCAAGGUGUAGCCCAUGAGACGGUAAAAAAUGGGCUACAUUUUCUAUUUCAGAAAACCCCACGAAAACCCUUAUGAAACUUAAGGGUCCAAGGAGGAUUUAGCAGUAAAUUAAGAAUAGAGUGCUUAAUUGAACCAGGCCAUAAAGCGCGCACACACCGCCCGUCACUCCUCUCAAAUAUAUUUAAGGAAUAUCCUAACUAAACGCCCUAAUAUUUAUAUAGAGAGGAUAAGUCGUAACAUGGUAAGCGUACUGGAAGGUGCGCUUGGAUAAAU
rnacentral:rRNA from 1 species